AGAGUUCGAUCCUGCUCAGGAUGAACGGCUGGCGUGCAUGCUUAACCUUGGCAGUCGGAUCUCGGAAGUGGUGUUUCUCCGUGGCGGACGGUGAGUAAACGCGUAAAGAACCUGCCCUUUGGAGGGGAACACAGCUGGAAAGGCUGUUAAUACCCCGUAGGCUGAGGAGCAAAGCGGACGCCCGAGUAGGGCUCGCGUCUGAUUAGCUAGUUGGUUGAGGCAAUAGCCUUACAAGGCGAUUGAUCAGCUAGGCUGGUCCGAGAGCGAUGAUCAGCCCCCACACUGGCUGGGACCAUGUCCAGACUCCUACGGAGCAGCAGUGGGGGAAUUUUCCGCCAAUGGGGGAAGCCUGACGGAGCAAUGCCGAGGUGGAGGGUAGAAGCCCACGGGUCGUGAACUUCUUCCCGGAGAAGAAGCCAAUGACGGUUCUGGGGAAUACGCAUCGUGCUAACUCUGGUGCCAGCAGCGGCGGUAAUACAGAGGAUUGCAAGCGUUAUCCGGAAUGACUUGGGCGUAAAGCGUCUGUAGGUGGCUUUUUAUCCGCGUCAAUCCACGGCUCAACCCUGGACAGGCGUUGGAACACUAGCCAAAUGCUGGAGUACGGUAGGGCGGAGGGAUUUCCGUGGGAGCGGUGAAAUGCGCCUAGAGAUCGGAAUGAACACCCGGCGAAAGCACUCUGCUGGGCCGACACUGACACUGAGAGACGGAACUAGGGAAGCGAAUGGCGGAUUAGAUACCCAGGUAGUCUGGCCGUAAACGAUGAUAUUACUAGGCGCUGUGCGUAUCGGACCCGUGCACAGUGCUGUGGCUAACGCGCUUAAGUUAUCCGCUGGGGAGUACGUUCGCAAGAUGAAACUCAAAGGCAAUUGACGGGCCGCACAGCGGGUGGAGCAUGUGGUUUAUUCGAUGCAAAGCGAGAACCUUAACAGGGCUUGACAUGCCGCGAAAUCCUCUUGAAAGAGAGGGGUGCCUUCGGGAAGGCGUACACAGGUGGUGCAUGGCUGCGUCAGCUCGUGCCGUAAGGUGUUGGUUUAAGUCCCGCAACGAGCGCAACCCUCGUGUUUUAGUUGCCCACCGUUGAGUUUGGAACCUUGAGCAGAACUGCCGUGAUAAGCGUAGGAAGGUGAGGAUGGACGUCAGUCAUCAUGGCCCUUAUGCCCUGGGUCGACCACGGCCUCCAAUGGACGGGACAAAAGGGGUCGCGAUCCGCGAGGGUGAGCUAACUUCCAAAAAACCCGUCCUCAUUUCGGAUUGCAGGCUGCAACUCCGCCAGCAUGAAGCCGGAAUUCUAGUAAUCGCCGUCAAGCCUUUACGGCCGUGAAUUCGGUUCCGGCCUUGUACUACACGCCCGUCCACACUAUGGGAGCUGUGCCAUGCCCCGAAGCUCCGUUUACUUAAACGCAAGGAGGGGGGAUGCCGAAGCAGGGCUAGUGACUGAGAGUUAAGAAGUCGUAAACAAGGUAGCCGUACUUGGAAGGUGCGGGAC
rnacentral:rRNA from 1 species